rnacentral:rRNA from 1 species
CCUACGGGAGGCAGCAGUGGGGAAUAUUGGACAAUGGGCGAAAGCCUGAUCCAGCCAUGCCGCGUGUGUGAAGAAGGUCUUCGGAUUGUAAAGACUUUAAGUUGGGAGGAAGGGUUGUACAUUAAUACUCUGCAAUUUUGACGUUACCGACAGAAUAAGCACCGGCUAACUCUGUGCCAGCAGCCGCGGUAAU